rnacentral:rRNA from 1 species
AUGGAAGGUAAGAGUGGUCUCCGGGCUGUGAUCCUCCUCCUGGGCGCGGUCCUCGUCAUAGGGAGCUUGGUGCCGCUGGCCCAGGCAGAUCCGACGGCCGCCGCCACAGGAGCUGCGGACGCCAAGUUCUGCUGCAAGGACAAGAUAGGGAGCCACUGCUACGCCGCCUGCAUCACGCAGUACGGCCCCAUCCCGUUCUGCGCAGAAAUGUGCUGCUGUGUGCAGCUUACCAGCGGUAGAUGCCCGAGGCAAUGCCCUACCCCGGCCGACCCCAGACUUUUUCUUGCGAACAGCUCCACCUCCGACCUUCUCACCAGCAACGCCGUUGAGGUUGAGAGCUGCACGCUGAGGUGCUCGUCCAUCGUCUGUGACAGCAUGCGCAAUGUUAUCGAUGGCGGCAGCGAGGGGACGAAAGCCGUCGUGGAGCGCUGCGGCGAUGCAUGCGGCCGCUUCUGUGCCGGCGCCGGCGGCGCUGCAUCCCUUGAUGCUUAA